AAAAGAAAUUCGGUGCAGGAUGAGUCCGCGUCUGAUUAGCUAGUUGGAGGGGUAAGAGCCCACCAAGGCAACGAUCAGUAGCCGGCCUGAGAGGGCGACCGGCCACAUUGGGACUGAGACACGGCCCAAACUCCUACGGGAGGCAGCAGUGGGGAAUAUUGCACAAUGGGGGAAACCCUGAUGCAGCGACGCCGCGUGAGCGAGGAAGUAUUUCGGUAUGUAAAGCUCUAUCAGCAGGGACGAAAAAAGACGGUACCUGACUAAGAAGCCCCGGCUAACUACGUGCCAGCAGCCGCGGUAAUACGUAGGGGGCAAGCGUUAUCCGGAUUUACUGGGUGUAAAGGGAGCGUAGACGGCAAGGCAAGCCAGAAGUGAAAGGGCAGGGCUCAACCCUGUACAUGCUUUUGGAACUGUGGUGCUAGAGUGCAGGAGAGGUAAGUGGAAUUCCUAGUGUAGCGGUGAAAUGCGUAGAUAUUAGGAGGAACACCAGUGGCGAAGGCGGCUUACUGGACUGUAACUGACGUUGAGGCUCGAAAGCGUGGGGAGCAAACAGGAUUAGAUACCCUGGUAGUCCACGCUGUAAACGAUGAAUACUAGGUGUUGGGGGCUGAAGCCUUCG
rnacentral:rRNA from 1 species